UGCAGAGCUAACCAAGCUUGCUUCAACAAAAAGAAUAGCACCCGGUGAUUUCUCAGAAAUCUGUCGGACACUAAAAAAGCUCAUAACAGAUGUUAAUAUCGCUGUAGCAGUCGAGGAAA